UACGUAGGGUGCAAGCGUUGUCCGGAAUUAUUGGACGUAAAGGGCUCGUAGGCGGUCCAUCACGUCGGGAGUGAAAAGCUGGGGCUUAACCCCAGUCCUGCUUCCGAUACGGGUGGACUAGAGGUAGGCAGGGGAAAACGGAAUUCCUGGUGUAGCGGUGAAAUGCGCAGAUAUCAGGAGGAACACCGGUGGCGAAGGCGGUUCUCUGGGCCUUACCUGACGCUGAGGAGCGAAAGCGUGGGGAGCAAACAGG
rnacentral:rRNA from 1 species